rnacentral:lncRNA from 1 species
CUAAUUAUGCCGGUGUAACACCGCGCAGCCUCCGCCAUAUAACCACCGCCCACCACCGACCGAAAAUCGCCAGCGGAGGCGGCGUAACCGAAAUCUACCCAAAUUUACAACCCAGGUUCCCCGUCUUCCCCUCUUUCCAACCCCCCUAAAAUCACCCCUCAAAACCCACCCAAACGCGUCGAAUAUCCCUUCGAAGGAGCGGUUGCUCCGUCGUACACGGCGGCUUCGACUCCAAUGGCCUCCAAAUUAACACCCAAUACUCCCCUUGGCCUCCCCUACCCAAAAAUGAAAAAAACUUCAUUCGAAUAACCCCCAAGCUUGUCGAAUUUUAAAUCUGAGUCCUGACCUAAUUUUGAGAAGGAAAUUUUAUUAAGACGUUUGAGUUUAUAAAUAGAAUUGCAUGUUUGUUUUGGCCAACAACAAAGCUAUAACUCUGUUUGGAGGUUCAAAAUUGAAUCCAGUCAAGUAUCUUUAAAAGAACAACCAGUAAGUUUCAUCUUUUUCUUCUGUUUACUUUUGUUGUUUUUGCUUCUUUGUUAAUAAUUUUAUCUUAUUUUAAGUUUUGACUAUUAGUUUUGAUUAGAAACAUUGAUUAGUUUUUCUCAGAUCUGAGUUUGGAUUUUGGUGACCAUUUGAUUCUGUGUGCAUUUGUGUUGUUCUUCUGGUGAUCCCACAGGUUUAGCUUCUAACCGUAUUACCCAUUUCUUUAGCUUAAUAUCCAAGUUUGAUUUAGUCCUAAUUUUUUGACCUUUUCAUGUUUAUUGUUCAACUCAGUUUAAUGUUCAACAAAUAAUUAGUAGUAGUUUGAACAGGGAUCAAUUUUUCAAUUUUGGUUGUUCCAAAUGGUAUAAUGGCAUGAUAGUCACAACUUUGCAUGUUUUUUCUUGCUAUUUCAGCAUUUAGUUCGAAUUUUGGUUCACUAGUGUUUGAAUUCUAAGUUGGAUUUUUGUUUAUUUUUCUGAUUAAUGGUUCAAAUUUGAUUAAGGUAUUGGUUAUAGCUGUUAGCUAGAAAAUAGUUAGCUUAGUAAACCAGUAAUCUAGCAUACUAAAAGGGUAAUAUAGGAUUUUAAUUUGGUUAUAGUAAUAUUAGGAUUAACGUUAUAGCUGUUAGCUAGUAAAUAGUUAGCUUAGUAAACCAGUAAUUCUAGCAUACUAAAAGGGUAAUAUAGGGUUUUAAUUUGGUUCUGGUAAUAUUAGAAUUAAAAUGAGGGUAGUAUAGGUGUCCUAUAAGUUUGAAACAAUGCUAGAAUCUUUUAGACCCUUCUAGAAGGGGAUUUCGUUUAAAAAUCAGUAGUUUAGUGCAGUAACUUGGGAAACAAGUCAAAAAAUGAAGGACCAAAUAGGUAAAGUCUGAAAAUCAAAAGAGAGACUAGUAGUUAAAAUGAAAUAAAAGGGUUGACCUAGCCUUUGGCUAUAAAAGGGACCCCAAUUCAUUCAAAAAAGGGGGUUACAUAGUCUGAAAAACAAUAAGAAACUUCCAGUUAUUUUAAAAGCCCUAUAAAAUCUCCAAAAAUUCCUGAAAGUGUCCAGAAAUCCUAGGCUUAUAAGAGUUGUCAAAUUUUCUGAAGUUCAUGGGCCUUUCACUGUUCUAUUAGGUUGCUUUUCCUGAAAAUAACUUUAAUUUCGGUCGUGCAGUAGAAGUUAGCUAUAUAAAGAUUAAAAACAGCCUGAAAAAUAUACAUUUAAAGAGUUGAGUUUCUAGCAUUGUCUUGGGGUUCAAUUGAAGUUGAUUACGUCAUUGUUCCAGCUAUUUUGAGUCAAAUUGCUGAUUUUGUGUGGUGUCAAAACCUUCCUGGGUUCCCGUUUGGCUAUUUGAGUUUCAUUUGAGCCAUCUGGUUGGUUUUUACUGGUCUGAGCUUGGGUUUAAGCUUUCCCGGGGAUAUUUGGUAGCAUUACUGGGUGUAUUAACUACUCAUGACCUUUGGAUUUGUGAAUAUCCUGCUGUUUGAUCAUUGCCGACUCUCAAAUUUAUUUUUCACACAUUCCAGGUAUAUUUUUUAACCUCCAAUGAUGUAUGAAGUUUAAGCUUAAUGAAUAUCCAAGUUGAAGAUGCAUAUUAUUCUUUCCUUUAUCAACUUUUGUGACUAUUAUUAUGUCUAUUAUAGCUGAG